UACAGAGGGUGCAAGCGUUAAUCGGAUUUACUGGGCGUAAAGCGCGCGUAGGUGGCCAAUUAAGUCAAAUGUGAAAUCCCCGAGCUUAACUUGGGAAUUACAUUCGAUACUGGUUGGCUAGAGUAUGGGAGAGGAUGGUAGAAUUCCAGGUGUAGCGGUGAAAUGCGUAGAGAUCUGGAGGAAUACCGAUGGCGAAGGCAGCCAUCUGGCCUAAUACUGACACUGAGGUGCGAAAGCAUGGGGAGCAAACAGG
rnacentral:rRNA from 1 species